rnacentral:lncRNA from 1 species
UGUACCUUUUAUCAAGAAGAGUCAACUUGUAGUUACUUCCGUAUAUUUAGUAGCGUUCGUGGAACACUACAAGGGGACACGAAGAUGGUAAAAUUAUUACCCAGGCUCACGCUUGCGGAGCUGAGAUGUGAAUGUUCCCACUUGGAACUUGGAAGUAAGGACGAGUUGAGGGGAAAGAAGAAAAUUGAACUUGUGGCAUUGGUGAGAGAUUACAUCGAGGGUUGUGGCUGUGAUCCCAAGUUCUUCGAUUUUAGUGAUGAUAUUCAAACUUCUGAAGUUGGUGCGUCAGGCACGACGGGACAGCUGGGAGUAGGGCAUCCUUCCCCACUCGUGAUGUAUGGUACGAGAAGGGGAUACAGAUGGUCAACAUGGUGGGACAAGUUUAUAAUUUAGGUGUUACUGUUUGGGAAAUUGUCCUCGGAACGGAAAAAGUCUCUCCUGCUUCACUGUGCUGGUCCAGCAAUGGUUCAAUACUAUAUAAACGCUUGCUUUGCCUGAAGUUGAACGUUUCUGGCUGUCUGAGAUGAAGCAGGGAGUUGGGGAACCAAUGGAUGACUACGUAACUCGGUUGUGUGGCCGAGCAAAGUUUGUUCGUUUUUCGUGUGGUCCCUAUGGUCCCAGCAAAUUGUCCAUGAGAAUGUCGGCACAAAGCUUACAGGCGUGUUGCCUAUAGCAAGAUCGUUGGAAACUUCCAUCAGCCACACCAUAGUAAUGGGAUUGAGUGAAACUGUCAUGGCAUCCGAAUAUAAGGGCCCAAAAGGUCUCUGUCGUUAUAAAGGGAUGGGGUCUAUGUCCAAGUCUAAUGCUAAGGUGUACAGAAAGGUGGGAGAAACCAUAUCUUCCAGAAGUCAAAAUGCCCAGCGUUUGGCAAGGAGUGUACCCGGGUUGGGAAUCUGCACCUUCCAGUUCAUCUAUCUCAUUUCGAACUAAAUGAUAAGAGUCUAGAGCCUAUUAUACCUUCCUAAUGAUAAAAGGGGGAAUCAUCUCGUUAUAAGAUGUACAGGAGAUUCUGGUUCAUCUCCACACAAUUUACAUGAGUCAUCCAGCUCAUCCUCUUUUGAUGUUUCUUCAAAGGAAAAUAUGAUCAGUCACAAAACUUAAAACCUUUAUAAUUGAUGUUCUUUUCUCUUUAUAUAUUUUCCAUCCCUGUGUCAAAGACGAGGAAAAAAGUACUUUGUUUGCCGAAAACUUGGAUCUCCACGCCACUCGCUCAACCAGACAUAAUUAAUUAUUUUUCUUAUUUCAGUUUUUAAUGUGUUUAGUGGGACUUCCAUUGUAGAUUUUUUAGUCAUCUUACAUCUAUUGAUAGGAAUGAUUCCGAUGUCGAUUGCUUGUCUACUUGGAGUCCAACAAAGACUUAGAAUUAUGACUCCGUAAGAAAUCCUAAGUAUGACUUUUCGUCUUUUACACAUUAUUGAUUACUUUAUACUUAGAAGUUAUAUAUUCACUCUUGAAGAAUAUAAGCAUAAUGACAGCAGCUUUGGAAAAUAAAAUAAAAUAUAUAUUCAAGUAGCAAAUACAAAAAGCGAGCCUCUUCCAAUAUAAUAUAUCUUUACCUAUGAUAAUUACUAGUACCAAAAAUAUUGGGGUACUUUUUUUAUUUGACAACAAAAAAAAUUGAUGAAGUUUGGAUUUGACUAAUUUAACUUCACUUUUUGACAAUUUAUCUCAUUAAUAAAGCUAAAUUUGUUUGUCUGUCUGUCUGUAUGAAUAACAUUCAUCGAGCGCACUGGAUUUAGUACUUCAUGACGUGCGUAAAAAACAUUUUUUUAUCUAAGAAAUAACAUAUAGCAUCAAACAUGUACACAGGGUGCACUGUAUAUCAUACUCCAUGAUAUAAAUCAUAUAAAUAUUUUUGAUAUAAAAAAACAAUAAAGUUUAAUGAAAUAUUGCAGGCGUGUACAAUGUACAUUUAUAACAAGAGCACUGUUUCUCUCUGUUUUUGUUAUUAUUCUCGAGUCUAUAUCAUAACUCAUGUACAUUUUCAAUAAAUGUUAAGAUUUGAAUAAAAUAUAAGCUAAUAUGAUUUUUUUAAUUAGUGAAUGCUCUAAACACUAAAUUACUUAUAAGGUAUCCGAACAUAUAUACUUCCUUUUUUUUCAAAGCUCUUAUUGUUAUUAUUUUAUUCUUUGGGACAGAAGACCUGAAUUAAUCAAACUAUUGAGUAGCUACGUGUGAGCGUGCUCAUAAAAUUCGUAGAGAAACACUGAAGAUUACUUGGGAAGUAAUUUUACACAAAAUGUCCUGCAAUUGGACUACAACAUU